rnacentral:rRNA from 1 species
UACGUAGGGGGCUAGCGUUGUCCGGAAUCAUUGGGCGUAAAGAGCGCGUAGGCGGCCCGGUAAGUCCGCUGUGAAAGUCCAGGGCUCAACCCUGGAAUGCCAGUGGAAACUGUCGGGCUAGAGUACGGAAGAGGCGAGUGGAAUUCCUGGUGUAGCGGUGGAAUGCGCAGAUAUCGGGAGGAACACCAGUAGCGAAGGCGGCACUCUGGGCCGGUACUGACGCUGAGGAGCGAAAGCGUGGGGAGCAAACAGG